AAUUGUUAUCAGACGCCUUCUCCUGUCAGUCUAUAAAUCAAGAAGAAAUUGCGGAAAACGCCAAAAGCUCGCCACGACGUUAUGGACUAGGGCGAUUAUUCCAAUGGGAAUGUUGUCCGUGCUCUAGGGGUAUGAUAUUCAGAAUGGAUGCGAGUGUGAGAAUCAGACUCCUUUUUUCACGUGGUAGGUCCUGACAAUGGCCAAGGAUGAUGAGCGUGCAAAUACUUCUGAAAGCCAUAAUUGGAGUUCCUGAGAAAGGACGAUUUUUUUUGAGAAAAAUAUACCUCUAAAAGACCUCAACAGGUGCAUGCAUGUUUUGGGUCUUAGUGAUGGUGAAUAGCCAGUCAAGCCCACAACGUCACAACGCAGCAGCCACCAUCACCUGUAUCAGGUUGAAAGAGAGCCCUUUUUUGAAGUUGCAAUGACGUUGCAAAUUCUCUAGAGACCAAAGAACGUCUUCGUCUCGUAUUACACUCCGCUACACACGCUCACCUUAGAGCGCUUCUACCCUACGAUCAUGGUCCUUGGUCAUGGCUUGCAUUAUGAAGACAAGUGUGUGGCUGGGGGAUCAUGGGCUUAGGGUUAAUAUUUCAGGAGUCGGAUUUGCUUUGCUCUGUCAUCAACCAAGGUUUUAAUUGAAAGGGUCAGAGUGAAGAGCGAAGGCGCUUUGAAGAGAGAGGCUUUGUGCAGAAACGCCGAGAUGAGACCGAGUGAAGAGCGAACCAAGAAGUCAGACUCAUCGGUAAAGCAUCAUAGGGGAAGCUGGAAUAAGAUUGGUGUGGUUGGAGUUGCUGUUUCUGGAGUUGGAGUUGUUGUUUUUUCUUCUUCUGGUGGUGGAACUAAAAGUUUGUUUGCAUGGCGUUAACUGCGCUGUAUUUACCUGCGGGUGAACCAUGACAUCCCUACGCCAACAUCAGCAACCCAUUGAUGACCGAAUACGUAACGCAUGACCGAAUGAAACGAGUGUUUCUUUCAAAGGAGUUGUUCAACACUCGUAUGAGAGCGAAGGAGGUUCAUGCUUGAGAAGUCGAUCCAUCCAUCGAUCUACGUUGUUGUACGUACUACGUCGUUCACUCGGGACAUCGGACGAGAUUGGAGAGCUUUUGGGGAGGAAGGUUCACAGCAACAUCUUAGGCCACAAAGAGGUGGGCUUUUUCAGCCAAGUCAUGUUUGCUAAUCAAAAACAUGUUCUCUCGCUAUGUGUGUGUGUGUGUGUGGAUGUAUAGCAUUGCCUUCGUGUUGGCUGGAUUCAAAGAGGUGCCAAGGUGAGGGCCACAACGACGACGGCGGGACGAAAAGUGUCUCCAGAGGUGAAUUUUUGUGAAGCAAUUGGAAGUGAAUCAAAUUCCGAAAAGCCCCUUUCAACGGCCGAUCUGGCGACUUAUGGUUCUUGAACAGAGAUUCACUCGCUCUCUCACUCUCUCUCCGUGUCCGUCUCCAUCUCCAUCCAUCCAUCCAUCCAUUCUCUAUUGGCCCGAGUGGCGAUAAAAGUUAACGGCAUUACAACCUGAAAACCAUAUCUCGAAGCUACCGUUUCAGUCUAUCCGCUUGAUCACCUCUGACUCCAAUGGAUACAUAGAUAGAUAGAUGGAUGGAUCAGAUACUCGCACCUGUGGACAACACCAUCACGCGUUUACCUUCAGACACAUCCAUGGUACCUCCAUGGAUGCGAUAACCUCAGCAUCUUUUCGCCUUUUUUCCCCCAUGUCACGACUCCAGGUCGAGCGAAUUGGAACGAAUCACCUGACAACGAAGUGCCACUUCUAAAGUGGCUGAGAAUAUUCAUUGACUUGAAGAAGCAUUGUUACGAUGUUCCAGGGUUGGAUGGGAACCCAGGAGGCUCUUGUUCAGAUACCGGGUCAUUCCAUUGGUUAUCCUUAAAAUGCAUUGGUGGAUGGAAAGGCUUCAUUGUGCUGUUAAUUGGAACGCAGGGUUUGUGAGUGGUCAUGAGAACAGAAGAAAACGUGAGGUUAUCGUAUAUUUGUGUAACUUGUUCAAAUUGUUCAAAAAUAAUCAGCGCCGUUCAAGAACCGAGUUGUUGGAACAACUGGCCUUGCCAGUAUUGCUCUUGAACACUUAAUUGCUCUGGAAAUGAGUUUCAUGCAGUGUCUUGUGAUUCUCUUUCGACAACUGCUUAUGUCACUAUCACAAUAAUCAUGACAGCCAAAUUCAUACGUUUUCCAAAUUUAUACGCCAUUUGGAGUCAUCAAUCCACGAAUAAACCACGCAAGUUGUU